AGGAACGUACCGGAAGUGGAACAUCACAUGGGCUGAUGUGCUAACUCAGCUUUUCACAGGAUAGUCGACUCUGGCUCAGGCUUUGGAUCCUGGGAAAAUACUCACUUCCUUACUUCUCUCAGCCCUCAUCUGGCUUGCCACAUUCUCCUGCAAGUGACCAGCCGACAUGGUUGAACCCAGUAGACUAUGCUACGUGGAAUAAGCCAGUCACAGAAUAUGUGUAUGUUCCUUGUUCUGUGGAGGCAGUGAACUUGGCCGCGGGAGAAUACAAUGGAGUGGACUGAUUGGAGGCCGUAGUGGUUUCUUCCCACUCACUCUUCGGCUGUUCUUGAACUCAGUAGCAGGACCUAGGAGGCAGUUAGCAACGAUUCCAGGAUUCCACGACAUCUUGCCCUGCUGCCUGCUGUUCCCUGGAGCCUCAGUUGCCUGGCAAGCACACAGCAGGACCACGAUUCUCUGGGGAUUAGGUUUCUCCAUUCUCAGUGUGGGAAUGAGACUGUUUCCUCCCUCACAGGUGGCCGCAAGGAAUUAUAAACCAAUAAAGUGAUUGCUUAGCAUA